AAGGUUUUAAGUUAAUUUAAACUGGAGGCUUUCAAGGUCUUUAAUAAAUAUAUGUUGUUUAAAUCUUG
rnacentral:tRNA from 1 species